AGUCGCGAAUUACAAUUCAAACAAUUGACCAGUAAAUGACGGACGAAUGAGGAAGCAUAACGGAAUUUAUGAUUGGAAGAGAAGAUGACAAUGAUAAUCGACCUAAGGACAUGUGCCAAACUCACGUUCACCGAACCAGUGGAGGAUCAGGAAAUCUGAUUUACGGUGAAGAUACUCCUGAGUUUGACGUAUUUGUUUGGGGUACCAAAUCAAUGAAGAUAAUUAGCAGGGGACAAGUUUUACGGUUCGGGAUUCUAAAAUAUUCUGCAAUUCAUAAGGUACUAAGCACGUUCUGAGUGCCGUUGUAAUCUGAGAGCAAACGGCCCGUACCAACAGUACAAUAAAACAAUCGAACACGCACUUGCCAUCGUCAUUGCUGGUAGAGAUCCACGAGGCUGGAGUCCUGAGGUAAUAAAAGUACAAGGCGCAUUAAAUACAAUGCACAACAGGGAAUGUUGCCAUUUACCGAGGGAGGUGUUUAUAGGCUUUGACCGUGGCAGAGAGUCGUAGUACCAGAUUAGACUCUGCAAAAGGAACAAUACGUAAAGAUACAACAAGGAUGAGAGAGAUGCUUGGAUAUAUAUAUGGUAGGGGAGUUGGUACUCAUGCAGCUGAAAUACAAGGAACCAUUCGAAAUACAAGGGACCAUUUCGGGUUUCCGAGCCUUUUUACCGGACGAUCGCUACGAUAUGGAGAACAGGUAAGAAGGGGUUGUGUUAGCCCGCAACAUUGGAAAAGGAAGGCCGCCCCGAAAGUGCAGAGGAAGAUUGCCAUAGUGUCGUAAUAUCUCGAGUGCAGGGAAAUCGCGGUCCGUCCUGGGAUACAACCGGGAAAAGCAUGUUCUCGGUUGUGCAAGACGGACACAGUCCAUCUUAGAACGCAAGUGGUCUUAAGUAAUCUUAAGUAGUCUUAGGGAGACUACUGACCCUGAUUAUCAGUUCGGGAUGAGUCGCGGUUCGAUAGAUUAGAUCGGUUAGAUCGUAGCCAAAGAGGGAAGAGAUGGCACUGCAUACGCUUGGUUAUAACCGAGGAGCGAUGUCUACUGCAUUCAAUUGUCAGUACCGAACGAUGCAUGGAUGAACUAGGACAUGAAUUCAAGGCGCAGGCAAAUUGCUACUACAAGGAGAGAUCAAGUGGAUCACCAAGGGUUUUACUCGGAAAGUUAUGGCAUCGGUACUACACGGUCAUAAGCGAGGUUUGCUUAUCUCGAUUAAGUCGCGAUUAUCUCAUAGAUACAACCAUGGCGCUCCUCGAAUAAGAAUUGAUUCCUUAUGGUAUCGAGAGUCCACAUUGAAUUAAUAAUAGUUUUUCCAGGUGAUAAGUUUGAAGACGAACUUAUAGUCAGGUUGACCGAAUGCAAGAAAAUGCGAGGCUUCGAACGCUCGUAGCGAUCGUCUGGUUUUCGUCAUCCCCGAUUUUAAAUCAUCAACAUGGACGAACUGAGCUGACUAUCCUACGCGUUUCUACUAUGCUGAGUAAACGUAGCGUCUCAGAUAAAUCUGAAUGUGUUUUUAUAAAUAAUAGAUCAUAUUUCCUUGAAAUCUGUUUACACUUAAGCGAUUAGUUUCAUCUCGAACAUAAACAACUUCGGUGCUCCACCAAUUAAUCCACACAGACUCAAGCAUUGCAAUACGAGGAUUAAAUUAGUUUUCUAUUCUUUUAAGCUGACUUGUCUAAAUAUGAAUUUUGUGAGAUGUC